UGAUGACGUCACAGUUCCUUCGAUACGCAUAACAACGAUCCCACUGGGGACAAACAAAAGUAGCGUCGUCUCCACCGACCCAGUUGUCAGUGGCAACAUAUAGGAAUCGUGUACAUUUCUUCGUUUCUUCUUUGCUGUUUUCAGUGAGUGUUUUGUUUUCUUUUUGUCCUUGAUCUCGACGAUGUUGUCGUGCUCAUUACCUUACUGAGACGUCUCUUGUGACUGUAGCCAGUGUCACGGAGGAUUUUAUUGGCGUGACAAGGUAGAUCGCCGAGAUCGAGCGUGAAAAACGCUCUGCAUUAGUAGCUCCUGUAGAAUGUUUUCUGGGUUGGCGUAUCCAUGGUCAACAAAACCAAGGUGCAAGACAGCAGGAGAGAUCGUGUAAACGAUGUGAACUCCAAAAGAUAAUCUGGCCAAAUUUAUUGUAACUAGAGAGUGCAAUCGUGCACUGCUUGGGGCCCAUCCCAAUGGCUGUGGUGACUAGUGUAUAUCUGGGAGAAUUUUUCCUCGACUGAUACGGAGUGCAGGUGGAUCGAUUAUGAGAAAUGCGAACAUGUGAAGUUCAAGGCUAGAUGCACUUCACAUUCGGCGUGCGAUCUCAGCGUCUGGGACCUGAUGAAGUCUUGGUUGGAUGAUUAUUCAAGCCUGAUACUACUCGACACACCAAUGUUCAUGUCAAUGUAAUUUUUUCAGAGCUGCACUAUUUACGUGUUCAUGCUUACUUCGGUGUUAGCGUGUUUCCCCCGGAUUGUUUCUAUCAUCAUGAUCGUGUGUUCUUGGGCUGAGUGAACACAUGCACGAGUGUGCAGCUAUACCCCUGUGUAUCUUUGGUUACACUUUGUUCUGCAAUGCAUGUACAGGUCCUCCCUCGUUAUUAGAUAAUCUCUGGGCCAUCGAAAAAGUUAUCUUAUAACGAUACUUAUCUUGUAGCAGGACUUGCAGCUAAUGGUGAAAUAGGCACUACUUCGUACUUACCGGGGCUACCCUCGAUACAACAUAAUUUAUCGAUGCUUCAACUCUUUAUAAGAUAAUUGAAAAUCUCCAAGUUACUCCAACAUAGCUCUUCCUUGGAUGGAAAGGAUCGUCCAUAUUCACGAAUACAUAGACAUAAUAUGUUUCCUCUUUCUGCUUUAUCCUACGUGUUUUGGCCUUGGUCCUGCAUGGUCGAUAUUAUCUUAUACUGAGGGUUGGCACUCCAGGGACCUGGGCAAAGGGUCGUUAUAACGGAUUUUAUGUACUAACGGAUUAUGUUGUAACCGGACCUGUAAACAGUUAUAUAGACCACGUUUUGCCAGGGGAUUUCAGAUUUCUGUUUACUAACGGGGUUUAUGUAGUAACCGGACUCGUUAUAAUGAGGGAGGACCUGUACCUUGUAACAUUAUGUGCUUGCACUGCUUUGUCUGGCCUGCUUAUUUCAGGACUAUUCAGUGCAUUAGACCCAGGUUUGUUUGGUUGCCGGAUGACCUCUUGUUGCGUCGCUCUGUAUUUGUAUUCAUCAAUUUUUGGGCUUGAGAAUUGAGCUGUUGUGUGGUUCCCAAUAUGAAAACAUCAUGCUGG